CCGUCUAAGUUUAAGAAAAUCAAUAAGUGGAGGAAAAGAAACUUAUAAGGAUUCCCUUAGUAAUGGUGAGGGAACCGGCAAUAGCCCAACCUUAGAAUUAGGCAGCUCUAUCAUGUGAAUUAUAGUAAGGAGAAACGUUCGCAGCGAUUGACUGAGACCAAGUCCCUUAGAAGGAGGCGCUAUAGAUGGUGAGAGCCCCGUUAUGCUCAGACCCUGUCAUACCACGAGUCGAGUUAAUUGGGAGUGCAACCUAAAUCGAGCGGCGACUUCCAUCCAAGGCUAAAUAGGGGCGAGAUACCGAUAGCGAACAAGUACCAUAAGGGAAAAAUAAAAAGUACUUUGAAAAAAGAGUCAAAGAUUACUUGAAAAUGUCAGGAAACAAGUGAAUACGAGCAUAUAAUGUGCCCCUGUGAGAUUAGAAUGGUGACGAUGAUUUAUAAAGGAUUUCUCAAAAAUUGCAAAUCUACUUUGCAAACUUUGGGAGAAGAAGGCUAAGUUUAACUUUUAUAAUGAUUGCUUGAAGCAUUUGAAUGCCUUAAAGAAAAGUUAGUUGAUGCUUCUAUUAUUGUUGCACUGGAUUGGUCAACACCG
rnacentral:ncRNA from 1 species